GAUGAACGCUAGCGGCAGGCCUAAUACAUGCAAGCUGAACGGUAAAUAUUGUAGCAAUACGAUAUGAGAGUAGCGUAAGGGUGCGUAACACGUAUGCAAUCUGCCCGCAACAGGAGGAUAGCUCCCCGAAAGGGGAAUUAAUACUCCAUAAUAUCACGAGAGGGCAUCUGAUUGUGAUUAAACUCCAAGGGGUUGCGGAUGAGCAUGCGUCUGAUUAGUUAGUUGGUGAGGUAACGGCUCACCAAGACGAUGAUCAGUAGGGGAACUGAGAGGUUGAUCCCCCACACUGGCACUGGGAUACGGGCCAGACUCCUACGGGAGGCAGCAGUAGGGAAUAUUGGUCAAUGGGUGAAAGCCUGAACCAGCCAUGCCGCGUGCAGGAAGACGGCCUUCUGGGUUGUAAACUGCUUUUGCCAGGGGAUAAAAUACCCAUGCGUGGGGAAUUGAAGGUACCUGGUGAAUAAGCCACGGCUAACUACGUGCCAGCAGCCGCCGUAACAC
rnacentral:rRNA from 1 species